rnacentral:rRNA from 1 species
ACUGCUCAGUAACACGUGGACAACCUACCCUAUGGAAGGGGAUAAUCCCGGGAAACUGGGGAUAAUACCCUAUAGACUAUGGAUGCUGGAAUGCUCUGUAGCCGAAAGGUCCGCCGCCAUAGGAUGGGUCUGCGGCCGAUUAGGUUGUUGUUGGGGUAACGGCCCAACAAGCCUGUAAUCGGUACGGGUUGUGGGAGCAAGAGCCCGGAGAUGGAUUCUGAGACACGAAUCCAGGCCCUACGGGGCGCAGCAGGCGCGAAAACUUUGCAAUGCGGGAAACCGUGACAAGGGAACUCUGAGUGCCCGUAAAAUCGGGCUGUCCAUCAGUUUAAAAAACUGGUGAAGAAAGGGCCGGGCAAGACCGGUGCCAGCCGCCGCGGUAAUACCGGCGGCUCGAGUGGUGGCCACUAUUACUGGGCUUAAAGCGUUCGUAGCUGGUUUGUUAAGUCUCUGGGGAAAUCUUCCGGCUCAACCGGAAGGCGUUUCAGGGAUACUGGCAGACUAGGGACCGGAAGAGGUGAGAGGUACUCCAGGGGUAGGAGUGAAAUCCUGUAAUCCUUGGGGGACCACCUGUGGCGAAGGCGUCUCACCAGGACGGCUCCGACAGUGAGGGACGAAAGCUGGGGGAGCAAACCGGAUUAGAUACCCGGGUAGUCCCAGCCGUAAACGAUGUGCGUUAGGUGUAUCGGUGACCACGAGUCACCGAGGUGCCGAAGAGAAAUCGUGAAACGUACCGCCUGGGAAGUACGGUCGCAAGGCUGAAACUUAAAGGAAUUGGCGGGGGAGCACCACAACAGGUGGAGCCUGCGGUUUACUCGGACUCAACGCCGGGAAACUCACCAGAUAAGACAGCUGAAUGAUAGUCGGGCUGAAGACUCUACUUGACUAGCUGAGAGGAGGUGCAUGGCCGUCGUCAGUUCGUACUGUGAAGCAUCCUGUUAAGUCAGGCAACGAGCGAGACCCCUACC